rnacentral:rRNA from 1 species
UACGAAGGGGGCUAGCGUUGCUCGGAAUCACUGGGCGUAAAGCGCACGUAGGCGGACUCUUAAGUCGGGGGUGAAAUCCUGGAGCUCAACUCCAGAACUGCCUUCGAUACUGGGAGUCUUGAGUUCGGGAGAGGUGAGUGGAACUGCGAGUGUAGAGGUGAAAUUCGUAGAUAUUCGCAAGAACACCAGUGGCGAAGGCGGCUCACUGGCCCGAUACUGACGCUGAGGUGCGAAAGCGUGGGAGCA